UGGGGAAUAUUGCACAAUGGGCGAAAGCCUGAUGCAGCGACGCCGCGUGAGGGAUGACGGCCUUCGGGUUGUAAACCUCUUUCAGCAGGGAAGAAGCGAAAGUGACGGUACCUGCAGAAGAAGCGCCGGCUAACUACGUGCCAGCAGCCGCGGUAAUACGUAGGGCGCAAGCGUUGUCCGGAAUUAUUGGGCGUAAAGAGCUCGUAGGCGGCUUGUCACGUCGAUUGUGAAAGCCCGAGGCUUAACCUCGGGUCUGCAGUCGAUACGGGCUAGCUAGAGUGUGGUAGGGGAGAUCGGAAUUCCUGGUGUAGCGGUGAAAUGCGCAGAUAUCAGGAGGAACACCGGUGGCGAAGGCGGAUCUCUGGGCCAUUACUGACGCUGAGGAGCGAAAGCGUGGGGAGCGAACA
rnacentral:rRNA from 1 species